GAGACAGUAAUAAUGGGAAAUGAUAAUAACAAUGAUAACAAAAUGGAAAAACAAGUGUUGCAGAAUGCAAUUGCUCACCACCUGCUAUGCUCCCUCCCAGUUCCUUCUGCAUAUUCCCUCAGUGACAGAGCAUCAGACAAGGAAAAAAAAAAGUUCUUGACUUAGAAUAAACAAGACUGAGCAGAAGCCCAAAACAUCAGUGUGUUAUCAACACCAUUCUCAUUCCAAAUCAAAAUGCAGCACUGUAACAACUACUGGGAAGAAACUGACUCUAGCCUAGCUGUAACCAGGACACUGGCCUCUGCAGCAUGGCUUGAUCUUGGAGUCAGUAUUAAUGGGACACCCAUGCAUGUCAGCAGAAGGCUUUCCAGAACAGGAGAGGAUGUAGUAGGGUGUUCAUAGCCUGUCUGACACCGGCUGCCAGCAGUUGCUACACCUCCGUGUUUACUCCAUAAUGAUGUCACCACAGGAUGCCAUCCCACCAGAAGAACAAGGCCCACCAUAUCGUUUCUGCUGACACUGGGCAGAGCAUCCUUUCCCACAAAUUGAAAGGGUUCAUGUCCACAGACUUGGCUCUGAGAGACCCCUGGAAAUUAUGGUUAUAACUCUUCAUAAACUCUCAUAAUGCAUCAGAGUAUCACAAAAGUAUUGCAUGUGGUAAAAUAAAUCACACGUCUUUGUUCCAACUGUAAUGUUGAAAUGUUCUAGAAAUACUACACUUAUUACUAGUAGGAAAAUGGUGUACAUUGUUUAAAGCUUCAUUUAAAAAUUCUUUUCUCUUGUCAGUCUGAAUUUCUGAGGUGCAUGGCCACCAGCUAAAAUAGUUUUAAAAGCUGAGUUUUUAAACCCUGAGUGGUUCAGAGCUUGUUUUUUCUUUUGAACUGAUGUUCAGUCAUGUUUGUCCAAUAUGUAUGGCACUAUAAAGGUGUACUUAACACCACUGUUAUAGGUGAAAAAACACUGCAUAUUAUCAAGCCUGCCUGCCACUGCACAUUCACCUCUGCCAUAAUCACCUGGUCCUCUAAAGGAGUUUCUUGCCACCUUGAAUAACCUUUAAAUUCCUGGUUUGAAAGCCAGAUUGCCAGGUUGCCACUUGCCCUCUGUUCACAGUAACAAUUUAUAUCUCCCAAGUUUUCUGCCUUCCCAGGAACACAAUGAAUGUAUUUCAAUGGAAGCAGUGAUGCAGGCAUGUCUGCAACCUAAUGCUACUAUGAUUAUGUCAGAAAUGCAAUGUUUGACAAUCAUGUGAGUUCAUGUACAGAAAAACUUUAUUAACAGCAUGUAAGGGGAGUUGUUUGUUAACCUCCUUCAAUCUUUUCCCCCAGAAUGUCUUUGUCUCAUCUAUGUCCACUCCUCUUUCUGCAACUGUGUCAGGCCCUGGACAUGAAUGUCAGCGGAUCAUGACACACUUCUUACUUCUGCCUCCUCAGUCAGUCAUCUGGAGCUUUUUGAAACUUUCUAUAAGAAUUCCAAAGGAGUGUGAGAGAGAAGUCGGCAUUUUUUUCUGGGAUAAAGUUCAUCUGACCUACUUUGCUACUUUAGGCUGAUCAUAAACUGAUGAAUGCCUGCCAGGAGACAAAUUUUUCUGCACAGUGAUCAGGAAUAUUAUUCUUUUGUUGAAUCAUAAGCCUUUAAUAUCUGCCAACAGACUGUGAACCAGCUAUCAGCAAGGCACAGAGCAGAGUCACUCCUUUUGGAUCUAGAUUGUGGUUGAAGGAGGAAAUACAAGCUCUACAAAGGACAGGAUGUUUCCGCAUUACGAUAGUGGUAGUGGUGGGGUGUACAGGUUUUUUUCUGGUUUGUAUUUUUGGGGUUUUUAGGGA